rnacentral:rRNA from 1 species
UCGACGCGAAGGGGAGCAAUCCCUGAGUAGAGUGGCAAACGGGUGAGUAACACGUGGGUGACCUGCCUUCGAGUGGGGGAUAACGUCCCGAAAGGGACGCUAAUACCGCAUGACAUCCUGCUCUUGGACGAGCGGAGAUCAAAGCUGGGGAUCGCAAGACCUGGCGCUUGAAGAGGGGCCCGCGCCUGAUUAGCUAGUUGGUGAGGUAACGGCUCACCAAGGCAACGAUCAGUAUCCGGCCUGAGAGGGCGGACGGACACACUGGGACUGAGACACGGCCCAGACUCCUACGGGAGGCAGCAGUGGGGAAUUGUUCGCAAUGGGCGCAAGCCUGACGACGCAACGCCGCGUGGAGGAUGAAGAUCUUCGGGUCGUAAACUCCUGUCGAGCGGGAAGAACGUUUCGCGGAUGAAUAAGCCGCGGAAGUGACGGUACCGCUAAAGGAAGCCCCGGCUAACUCCGUGCCAGCAGCCGCGGUAAUACGGGGGGGGCAAGCGUUGUUCGGAAUUACUGGGCGUAAAGGGCUCGUAGGUGGCCAACUAAGUCAGACGUGAAAUCCCCAGGCUUAACCUGGGAACUGCGUCUGAUACUGGA